rnacentral:rRNA from 1 species
CCUACGGGCCGCACCAGUAGGGAAUCUUCGGCAAUGGACGAAAGUCUGACCGAGCAACGCCGCGUGAGUGAAGAAGGCUUUCGGAUCGUAAAACUCUGUUGGUAGAGAAGAACGUUGGUGAGAGUGGAAAGCUCAUCAAGUGACGGUAACUACCCAGAAAGGGACGGCUAACUACGUGCCAGCAGCCGCGGUAAUACGUAGGUCCCGAGCGUUGUCCGGAUUUAUUGGGCGUAAAGCGAGCGCAGGUGGUUUAUUAAGUCUGGUGUAAAAGGCAGUGGCUCAACCUUUGUAUGCAUUGGAAACUGGUAGACUUGAGUGCAGGAGAGGAGAGUGGAAUUCCAUGUGUAGCGGUGAAAUGCGUAGAUAUAUGGAGGAACACCGGUGGCGAAAGCGGCUCUCUGGCCUGUAACUGACACUGAGGCUCGAAAGCGUGGGGAGCAAACAGGAUUAGAUACCCCUGUAGUC